CCUACGGGAGGCAGCAGUGAGGAAUAUUGGUCAAUGGCCGCAGGGCUGAACCAGCCAAGUCGCGUGAGGGAUGACGGUCCUAUGGAUUGUAAACCUCUUUUGUCAGGGAGCAAAGGGCGCCACGUGUGGCGUUUUGCGAGUACCUGAAGAAAAAGCAUCGGCUAACUCCGUGCCAGCAGCCGCGGUAAUACGGAGGAUCCGAGCGUUAUCCGGAUUCAUUGGGUUUAAAGGGUGCGUAGGUUGUUUUAUAAGUUAGCGGUGAAAUACCGAUGCUCAACAUCGGGGCUGCCGCUGAUACUGUAGGACUAGAGAUCGGAUGCAGCAGGCGGAAUGUGUAGUGUAGCGGUGAAAUGCAUAGAUAUUACACAGAACACCGAUUGCGAAGGCAGCUUGCUAGGCCGGAUCUGACACUGAUGCACGAAAGCGUGGGGAUCGAACAGGAUUAGAUACCCCAGUAGUC
rnacentral:rRNA from 1 species